ensembl:lncRNA
CGUGGAGUGGUGAUUGGAUCCUAGAUGAGGAGGGCGGGAUCAAAUCUUGCCCUGAGCUUUGAUUGGCCGCCGCUAGGUUGCCUACAGAAGCUCUUCCAGGGUACUGAGGUUUUCUGGAAUCACUUAAAGGCUACGAGCGCGGGGUCCACCGGCUCCGGGAUGCCAUUGGCUGCUGGAUUGGCGCAGGCGCUAUGGCUCCCGGGUCGGCGUUCGGAGUUGCUGAGGCAGGGCUUUGGCUACUGGACACUGUAGGUUCGAAUCCCAUCUAGGAACUUCAGUUUGCGCACCUGUAAAAGAAGCUGGUAUUAUUGGCUGGCACAGAAUGUGUUGGGACUUGAAGACUCUGAUCUGCUUGGUGGUGAAUAUCCCAGAGUGAGGUGUCUGAGCUCUUUGUUUUUAGGUCCCUGAUCCGUUUGUGGGUAUAUGAAUCACAUAUGAGUUCCCUGAUUAGUUUGUGGGUAUGUGUCUCCCAGGACAUCAUGUCUCGACUGAUCUAUGCAUGUACAUCUCUGUUCAGCUGAAUACUGGCCUUCAAUAAUAUCCCCGUCUCAGUCCCUAGUGAAAGUGUUAGUCAUUGAGUCAUGUCUGACUCUGCAACCCCAGGCUCCUCUGUCCAUGGGAUUCUUUAGGCAAGAAUACUGGAGUGGGUUGCCAUUUCCUUCUCCAGGGGAUCUUCCUGACCCAGGGAUCGAACCUGGGUCUCCUGCACUGCAGGCAGAUUCUUUACCAUCUGAGCCACCUGGGAAGCCUGUGACUAUGUUAACUUUCUGGCAGAAGGGACUUUGCAGAUUUGAUUAAGUUAAUCACCAGGAGGCUGGGAGUUUAUCCUGGAUUAUCCAUGUGGGCCCAGUGUAGUCACUAAGGUCCUUACGUGUGGGAGGCACGAUGGUGAGAGUCAGAAAUGACACUGUGACAAUGCAGGCUGUCUAAGAAGGUGAUGUAAUGAUGGAAGCAGAGUUGGAGAAGGAGAUUUGACAGCUGAAACAGAGAGAAGAGAGAUCAGAGAGACAUUUGAAGAUGAAACGCUGCUGGCUUUGAAGAUGGAGGAAGGGACCAUGAACCAAGGACUGCAGACAGCCUCUAAAACUGGAAAAUGAAAGGAAGUGCAUUUUCCUGGAGCUUCCUGGAGGGAAGUAGCUCUGCUGACAACUUGACUUUAUCUCUGUAAGACUCAAUUUUAGGUCUCUGACCUAUAGAAGUGUAAGAUAAUAAAUUAGUGUUGUUUUACAAUACCAA